rnacentral:misc_RNA from 1 species
CCGAGUUUCUACACUCACCAAACCCACUGUAAACGUACCCAAUCUUAGCCCCUCCGGCAGGCGGCCCCAGGGCGGGGCCUCAGCCUUAUGGCGCCUGCCGAAGGCGGCGCAACUUUUGCUCUUUAAAAUACAAUCUGAGACCUAAGACAAAAUAUCA